rnacentral:rRNA from 1 species
AGUGGCGGACGGGUGAGUAACACGUAGGUAACCUGCCCCGGAGCGGGGGAUAACAUUUGGAAACAGAUGCUAAUACCGCAUAACAACAAAAGCCACAUGGCUUUUGUUUGAAAGAUGGCUUUGGCUAUCACUCUGGGAUGGACCUGCGGUGCAUUAGCUAGUUGGUAAGGUAACGGCUUACCAAGGCGAUGAUGCAUAGCCGAGUUGAGAGACUGAUCGGCCACAAUGGAACUGAGACACGGUCCAUACUCCUACGGGAGGCAGCAGUAGGGAAUCUUCCACAAUGGGCGCAAGCCUGAUGGAGCAACACCGCGUGAGUGAAGAAGGGUUUCGGCUCGUAAAGCUCUGUUGUUGGAGAAGAACGUGCGUGAGAGUAACUGUUCACGCAGUGACGGUAUCCAACCAGAAAGUCACGGCUAACUACGUGCCAGCAGCCGCGGUAAUACGUAGGUGGCAAGCGUUAUCCGGAUUUAUUGGGCGUAAAGCGAGCGCAGGCGGUUGCUUAGGUCUGAUGUGAAAACCUUCGGCUUAACCGAAGAAGUGCAUCGGAAACCGGGCGACUUGAGUGCAGAAGAGGACAGUGGAACUCCAUGUGUAGCGGUGGAAUGCGUAGAUAUAUGGAAGAACACCAGUGGCGAAGGCGGCUGUCUGGUCUGCAACUGACGCUGAGGCUCGAAAGCGUGGGUAGCGACAGGAUUAGAUACCCUGGUAGUCCAUGCCGUAAACGAUGAGUGCUAGGUGU